UACGUAGGGGGCUAGCGUUGUCCGGAAUCAUUGGGCGUAAAGAGCGCGUAGGCGGCUGGAAUAGUCCGGUGUGAAAUCCACAGGCUUAACCUGUGAAUGCCGCUGGAAACUGUCUGGCUAGAGUCCGGGAGGGGGUAGCGGAAUUCCCAGUGUAGCGGUGAAAUGCGUAGAUAUUGGGAGGAACACCAGUGGCGAAGGCGGCUCACUGGACCGGUACUGACGCUGAAGCGCGAAAGCGUGGGGAGCAAACAGG
rnacentral:rRNA from 1 species